rnacentral:rRNA from 1 species
UACGAAGGGGGCUAGCGUUGCUCGGAAUCACUGGGCGUAAAGCGCACGUAGGCGGAUUGCUAAGUCAGGGGUGAAAUCCUGGAGCUCAACUCCAGAACUGCCUUUGAUACUGGCGACCUUGAGUCCGGGAGAGGUGAGUGGAACUGCGAGUGUAGAGGUGAAAUUCGUAGAUAUUCGCAAGAACACCCGUGGCGAAGGCGGUUCUCUGGGACGGUACUGACGCUGAGACGCGAAAGCGUGGGGAGCGAACAGG